rnacentral:misc_RNA from 1 species
AAGUCGUAACAAGGUUUCCGUAGGUGAACCUGCGGAAGGAUCAUUAUCGAGAUUUUUGAAAGCGGAGGUUUGUUGCUGGCGCGGGGAACGCGCAUGUGCACGGCCUUCGUGACUCUCAAGUCCACUCAACCCCAUGUGCACCUUAACAAAGUUGGUGUUAGUAGCCCGGCUUCUAAGGCUUACGCAAAGUAACCGUAAAGGUGAAAUGUUACGCUUCGUUUGAUGAUCUUAUAGAGUAAUCGGCACGGGGAAAGGUGAACGGACAAUUGCGUCUUAGUAGUCUAUCCCCUGAAGGUGAAAAGUAACUUCGUCGUUUUUUUUUUGCCGGGCGAGGGCGUCGACUUUCAUUUACAAACCACUUUAAUUGUCUUGUGAACGUAAUGCUCCUUGUGGGCGAAAAUAAAUACAACUUUCAACAACGGAUCUCUUGGCUCUC